UACGAAGGGGGCUAGCGUUGUUCGGAAUUACUGGGCGUAAAGCGCACGUAGGCGGAUCGAUCAGUCAGGGGUGAAAUCCCAGGGCUCAACCCUGGAACUGCCUUUGAUACUGUCGAUCUUGAGUCCGGGAGAGGUGAGUGGAACUGCGAGUGUAGAGGUGAAAUUCGUAGAUAUUCGCAAGAACACCAGUGGCGAAGGCGGCUCACUGGCCCGAUACUGACGCUGAGGUGCGAAAGCGUGGGGAGCAAACAGG
rnacentral:rRNA from 1 species